rnacentral:tRNA from 1 species
AGCCCUGUAGUGUAGUGGUCAAGCAUUGCAGGCUCUGAACCUGUCGACGGCAGUUCGAAUCUGCCCAGGGCUA